GAUGAACGCUGGCGGCGUGCUUAACACAUGCAAGUCGAACGGAAAGGCCGAAGCUUGCUUCGGUACUCGAGUGGCGAACGGGUGAGUAACACGUGGGUGAUCUGCCCUGUACUUCGGGAUAAGCUUGGGAAACUGGGUCUAAUACCGGAUAUGACGAUCUCUUGGAUGGGGUUGUGGAAAGCUUUUGCGGUAUGGGAUGAGCUCGCGGCCUAUCAGCUUGUUGGUGGGGUAAUGGCCUACCAAGGCGUCGACGGGUAGCCGGCCUGAGAGAGUGUACGGCCACAUUGGGACUGAGAUACGGCCCAGACUCCUACGGGAGGCAGCAGUGGGGAAUAUUGCACAAUGGGCGCAAGCCUGAUGCAGCGACGCCGCGUGGGGGAUGACGGCCUUCGGGUUGUAAACUCCUUUCGCAAUCGACGAAGCCUUUUGGUGACGGUAGGUUGAGAAGAAGCACCGGCUAACUACGUG
rnacentral:rRNA from 1 species